ACGGCUCAGUAACACGUGGAUAACCUGCCCAAGGGUCUGGGAUAACCCCGGGAAACUGGGGAUAAUACCGGAUGGAUCACUAGUGCUGGAAUGCUUGGUGGUCGAAAGGCAACGCCUUUGGAUGGGUCUGCGGCGGAUUAGGUUGACGCCGGUGUAACGUACCGGCGUGCCUGUAAUCCGUACGGGUUGUGGGAGCAAGAGCCCGGAGAUGGAUUCUGAGACACGAAUCCAGGCCCUACGGGGCGCAGCAGGCGCGAAAACUCUACAAUGCAGGCAACUGCGAUAGGGGGACAUCGAGUGGCAUCCACCUUGGGUGCCUGUCCAACCGUCUAAAAAACGGUUGUUAGCAAGGGCCGGGUAAGACCGGUGCCAGCCGCCGCGGUAAUACCGGCGGCUCGAGUGGUGGCCGAUAUUAUUGAGUCUAAAGGGUCCGUAGCCGGCUUUGCAAGUCCCCUGGGAAAUCCAGCGGCUUAACCGUUGGGCUUUCAUGGGAUACUACAUUGCUUGGGACUGGGAGAGGUAGGAGGUACUCGGGGGGUAGGGGUGAAAUCCUGUAAUCCUCCGGGGACCACCGGUGGCGAAGGCGUCCUACCAGAACAGGUCCGACGGUGAGGGACGAAAGCUAGGGGCACGAACCGGAUUAGAUACCCGGGUAGUCCUAGCCGUAAACGAUGCCCGCUAGGUGUCACGACGGUCGUGAAUCGUCGUGGUGCCGUAGGGAAGCCGCGAAGCGGGCCACUUGGGAAGUACGGCCGCAAGGCUGAACUUAAAGGAAUUGGCGGGGGAGCAC
rnacentral:rRNA from 1 species